rnacentral:rRNA from 1 species
UUAAGUUAUUAAGGGCGCACGGUGGAUGCCUUGGCACUAGAAGCCGAUGAAGGACGUUACUAACGACGAUAUGCUUUGGGGAGCUGUAAGUAAGCUUUGAUCCAGAGAUUUCCGAAUGGGGAAACCCAGCAUGAGUUAUGUCAUGUUAUCGAUAUGUGAAUACAUAGCAUAUCAGAAGGCACACCCGGAGAACUGAAACAUCUUAGUACCCGGAGGAAGAGAAAGAAAAUUCGAUUCCCUUAGUAGCGGCGAGCGAAACGGGAAGAGCCCAAACCAACAAGCUUGCUUGUUGGGGUUGUAGGACACUCUAUACGGAGUUACAAAGGACGACAUUAGACGAAUCAUCUGGAAAGAUGAAUCAAAGAAGGUAAUAAUCCUGUAGUCGAAAAUGUUGUCUCUCUUGAGUGGAUCCUGAGUACGACGGAGCACGUGAAAUUCCGUCGGAAUCUGGGAGGACCAUCUCCUAAGGCUAAAUACUCUCUAGUGACCGAUAGUGAACCAGUACCGUGAGGGAAAGGUGAAAAGCACCCCGGAAGGGGAGUGAAAUAGAACCUGAAACCGUGUGCUUACAAGUAGUCAGAGCCCGUUAAUGGGUGAUGGCGUGCCUUUUGUAGAAUGAACCGGCGAGUUACGAUUUGAUGCAAGGUUAAGCAGUAAAUGUGGAGCCGUAGCGAAAGCGAGUCUGAAUAGGGCGUUUAGUAUUUGGUCGUAGACCCGAAACCAGGUGAUCUACCCUUGGUCAGGUUGAAGUUCAGGUAACACUGAAUGGAGGACCGAACCGACUUACGUUGAAAAGUGAGCGGAUGAACUGAGGGUAGCGGAGAAAUUCCAAUCGAACCUGGAGAUAGCUGGUUCUCUCCGAAAUAGCUUUAGGGCUAGCCUCAAGUGAUGAUUAUUGGAGGUAGAGCACUGUUUGGACGAGGGGCCCCUCUCGGGUUACCGAAUUCAGACAAACUCCGAAUGCCAAUUAAUUUAACUUGGGAGUCAGAACAUGGGUGAUAAGGUCCGUGUUCGAAAGGGAAACAGCCCAGACCACCAGCUAAGGUCCCAAAAUAUAUGUUAAGUGGAAAAGGAUGUGGCGUUGCCCAGACAACUAGGAUGUUGGCUUAGAAGCAGCCAUCAUUUAAAGAGUGCGUAAUAGCUCACUAGUCGAGUGACACUGCGCCGAAAAUGUACCGGGGCUAAACAUAUUACCGAAGCUGUGGAUUGUCCUUUGGACAAUGGUAGGAGAGCGUUCUAAGGGCGUUGAAGCAUGAUCGUAAGGACAUGUGGAGCGCUUAGAAGUGAGAAUGCCGGUGUGAGUAGCGAAAGACGGGUGAGAAUCCCGUCCACCGAUUGACUAAGGUUUCCAGAGGAAGGCUCGUCCGCUCUGGGUUAGUCGGGUCCUAAGCUGAGGCCGACAGGCGUAGGCGAUGGAUAACAGGUUGAUAUUCCUGUACCACCUAUAAUCGUUUUAAUCGAUGGGGGGACGCAGUAGGAUAGGCGAAGCGUGCGAUUGGAUUGCACGUCUAAGCAGUAAGGCUGAGUAUUAGGCAAAUCCGGUACUCGUUAAGGCUGAGCUGUGAUGGGGAGAAGACAUUGAGUCUUCGAGUCGUUGAUUUCACACUGCCGAGAAAAGCCUCUAGAUAGAAAAUAGGUGCCCGUACCGCAAACCGACACAGGUAGUCAAGAUGAGAAUUCUAAGGUGAGCGAGCGAACUCUCGUUAAGGAACUCGGCAAAAUGACCCCGUAACUUCGGGAGAAGGGGUGCUCUUUAGGGUUAACGCCCAGAAGAGCCGCAGUGAAUAGGCCCAAGCGACUGUUUAUCAAAAACACAGGUCUCUGCUAAACCGUAAGGUGAUGUAUAGGGGCUGACGCCUGCCCGGUGCUGGAAGGUUAAGAGGAGUGGUUAGCUUCUGCGAAGCUACGAAUCGAAGCCCCAGUAAACGGCGGCCGUAACUAUAACGGUCCUAAGGUAGCGAAAUUCCUUGUCGGGUAAGUUCCGACCCGCACGAAAGGCGUAACGAUUUGGGCACUGUCUCAACGAGAGACUCGGUGAAAUCAUAGUACCUGUGAAGAUGCAGGUUACCCGCGACAGGACGGAAAGACCCCGUGGAGCUUUACUGUAGCCUGAUAUUGAAAUUCGGCACAGCUUGUACAGGAUAGGUAGGAGCCUUUGAAACGUGAGCGCUAGCUUACGUGGAGGCGCUGGUGGGAUACUACCCUAGCUGUGUUGGCUUUCUAACCCGCACCACUUAUCGUGGUGGGAGACAGUGUCAGGCGGGCAGUUUGACUGGGGCGGUCGCCUCCUAAAAGGUAACGGAGGCGCUCAAAGGUUCCCUCAGAAUGGUUGGAAAUCAUUCAUAGAGUGUAAAGGCAUAAGGGAGCUUGACUGCGAGACCUACAAGUCGAGCAGGGUCGAAAGACGGACUUAGUGAUCCGGUGGUUCCGCAUGGAAGGGCCAUCGCUCAACGGAUAAA